UGACUAUAGGACCCAAUCCUGCAGAGAUUUAACUAUGUGUUUAACUUUUCUCAUUUUAAAUUCUGUUGAAAUCAGGGUUGCACGAUUAAGCCUUAGCUGUAAGUAUUUUCUUAAUGUGUGCACAAGGGCACUUUUAAAAAGUAAUUUAUCCAUGAUCCAUCAAAUUGGGACUGCACUACAUCGAGCUACUUGUGGUAGACCCACUAUCUGAUACCAUGUUGGCGGUGAUACAUAGAUGAAUAAUAACAUUGAGUUGUGCAAACAUACACCUCUACUUCUAUAUAACGCUGUCCUUGAGAGCCAAAAAAUCGUACUGUGUUAUAGGUGAAACCGCGUUAUAUCGAACUUGCUUUGAUCCACUGGAAUGCGCAGCCACGCCCCCUCGGAACACUACUUUACCGUGUUAUAUCCAAUUUCGUGUUAUAUUGGGUGGCAUUAUAUCGAGGUGGUGGUGUAUUUGACAUAUUUGGAAAUCUCAAGUAAAAUAAUGCUUAGAUGACCAUACUUUUGCAUACUAGAUUGUAAUCUCUGAGGGCUAAGAUUUUUUCAAUAACUCGAGUUCAGUGGUCAGCUGCAACUGAUGCUAUCUAAUUAUUAAGAAUACUUAUUGUAAAAAACCUCUUCUAAUUUUUCUUAAUAUUAGGAUUUUGCACAAGGAUUAGCUUGGUUAUGAUUCUGUACUGUAUUGAUAUUAUUUGUGUAGGUAAUUGCAGAACUAGUUUCUCCACCCUAACCAAAAAGGAUUGCUGUACUGGAGGGAGGACUGAUUCAUUUUCUGUGCUAAUUUAGCUCUGGACCUCUCUGGAGCCCUACUUCCCUAAAGUAUAGAAUAUGAGACAGAGACAGACAAGUACAUGAAAUCCCAAAUCUCAAUACUCUUGAGCUGAAACAUAAAUGGAUUCCUAGAAUGAAAAAAAUCCCAUGUCUUCUCCAACAAAUUAUCUAGCUUCCUUAUAAAUUAACAGGCAUAAAAUGCAUUGUAGUUGGAAACUCAUAGGAUUGAAGACCCUUUCUUUUUAUAUUUAUUCUAUUAUGGUAGUUACCUUACCAAACAGACAGAUCUGGGGGAUAUUCUCACAUAUUGAAAAUAGUUUGUAUGGUUAUUUUCUCUUUUGUUAAUGUGUUUUUGUGUAAUCCUCUAGGGAAAUUCCUGCUGUCUUUUCAACGCCAGAACUUGUGCACAAGGUGAAAGACAGAAGGGAAGUUUCAGCCUUUUUAAAAAAGAUGAUCUCCAUACCAUUAAAGGCCACCUGAUUUGUAAAAAUGUGUCUGCAGUAAUAAAUAAGAUUACAAGGCACUUCAGCUAAUUUGUAGCUUUUAGUUCUGCCUUUCAUGAAAAGUAGUCCAGUGCUAUUGCCAGCUUCCCACUCUUAGGUUGUGUCUACACUGCCCACAUUACAGUGUGGCUGUGGCACUGUAAAUGAAAAGUACAGCGGCUGGUGUGUCCUAUCUGAGCAUUUACAAUUACAAUACAGUUUGACCUGUUUUUCUCUUUAGUCCUCUCAGAGAAGACACAGUAGUGUUAUGAAAGCUUGUCAGUCUUUAAGAACAAGAAGAGCUAUAUAGGUGUUUCUGCAUUAGAUUGUUACACAACAAAUUGAGAUCAGCGUAGCCUUGGUAUUUACUGUAAUGGAACCAGACUGUGAUUAAAUGGAUUUUUGAAAUAAAAUGUAGGCUUCACAAUAAUGUUUUGUUGCCUUACUAAUCAAACCAAUCAAAUAUUAGCCCUAGUGAAAAUAUGGCUUGUAAAGUUAAAAAAAUGGUAUACAUGACUAAUAGCCUUGUACAAUUAAUGGAACUAUGUUUAGCAUGUUAAAAGUGACAUUAUUUAUGUGAGUAGGCUGUUCACUGCAUAAUACUACUCACAUGAGUAAAGUUAAACAUGUACAUCUUUUUUUCCUGGAUCAAACACACAAGAUUAUAUUAUAUAGGCAGAAGACUUGAAAUUGUAGCAAUGCAAAAAUUAUAAAUUGGUGUCCCAUGGAUUCUUACUGAAAAUUGCUCAAGAAAUAAGUAAGGAGGUGUUUGAAUGCAGAGAGGGAGAAAAGUCAAUGUUGGAAAAGUGACCAAGACAAGGGUAGAAAAAGAAUAUAAUAUUUUAGGUUGUGCUAGAUAUAGCGAAUGAGUGGGACCUGUUUUCUAAAAACACCUUAAAAGGUGUGACUAUGGAGUUUUAAAGAUCUCAACACUGUAACCAUGCCUUUGUGAGUCACAACUGAGAAUACCAAAUUCAGGACAAACUGCUGAGAAAUACACCCCAGAACUGGUGGUUAUUCCCCCAUAAGAUAUACCAAACCAGCAACAAAAGUAAACUUCUGUUUCACCACACUGGCUAACAAGAAAUCAGAAAAACAGUUUCCCUAGGCAUUCCAGUUCUUGUAUUACCACCAAAGAAACUGGAUUUAAAGAUGAGUGGUUCUUUACAAUGAAUCUCAUCAGAUAAAAGGUUCUUCUGAUCCCGAAGGACCAGCCACACAUCCAGCAUCUGUCCUCCAACACACAGGAAGACACAAUCCUUGCCUCAAGGAGCUUACAGUCCAAGAAAGAAGUUCACAGUCUAAGGCCCUGUUCUGCAAAGAUUUAUGCGAGAGAGUUGUCCCAUUGAAUUCAGUGGGGACUGUGUACAUUCAUAAGGUACUUACGUAUUUGGCUCAUUACUUUUUGUCCUACCUUCAGUGGACAUGGAGAACAGCAUGCUGCAGUGUGCCUAGGGUUUGAAAGAGCCAAGUGAAGCAAGAAGGCCAGAACAAUAGAGUGUGGGUCAGACUUGGACGGCUAAACCUUGAGAAGCGUCUUGACAUGUGCAAUGCAAUCUCAAACGUGUGGGAGGGCACUCUGGGUGUAGGAUGUGCAUAAGAGGCAUUUAUGGGAGAGAGUCAGAGGCAUGCCAGGGAGGCAGAGGCUAGGAGGUGAAUUGCAGGAAAUGAAAGGCAGACAGGAGCAAAGGUGAGGUCAAAGAAGUCUGAAUUUGAUGUAGAAACAGAUCAGCAGUCAGGACCAGUGAUUCAAAGAGAAAGUGACCCAGUCAGAGCAGUGGUCAGGGAAGACUUUUCUACAGCAAGUUAGAUGGACUUGGGAGGAUACACUGCUAAUUGGGAAGGAUCAAAAGAAAGAGACUUCAGUAGACGACAUGAGAAAUUACCAGGGUUUUAGCAGUAGGGAUGGUAAGGACAGAUGUUUUUCUAAUAGAGAAAGUACUGACAGGAUGAGAGUAGUGGAAAAGGAGAGAGAGGAGUCAAAUAUAGCACCAAGGUUGUGUGAUUUACCAACUGUGAGAACAGGGGCAUUGUUGACCAUGAUAAAGAGGGGAGUGGUGAAAUGGGUAUUUUUGGGGAGGAGGACAGGUGAAAGAGAAAAGGAGUUCCUUGUUCACUAUGGUCAGCCUGAGGGAGGGACUAUAUUUCUUCCUGGAUGUCUAGAGACACUUGCAGAUGUAAGACUGAACAGAGAGGGAGAGGAUAGGGAACAGAGAUAGGUAUGGGAGUUGUCAGCAUAGAGACUUUAAUUAACACCAUGACAAUGGAUGAGGUUGCCCAGGGGUAUGGUGGUGUAGGAGAAGAAGAAGAGGAGGGAGCCCUGGAGACUCUAUUAGAGAGGAGAAGCUACCAAGGGGAAUCCUGUCAAGAACAGAAUUACAAAAGCUCAAAGAGGCGGGAAUAACUGAUAGUCAAAGGCAGCAGACAGCUUGAGCAGGAUGAGGCUAGAGAAAAGGCCCUUGAAUUUGGCAGAGAACUUAGUGAGAAUGGCCGUAGACAAGUCAACAGGAUGGAAGUCAAAGUGCAGAUUGAUGAGAAAGAUGGAGGAGAGGAAACUGAGGAAAUGGGAGAAGACGACUUGCAGAAGGAGUGUGGAGGUGGAGAGAGGAGGGCGAUGAGGCUGUAGGUAGGAAAGUGGGAGGAGGGAUAGCUCAGUGGUUUGAGUAUUGGCCUGCUAAACCCAAGGUUGUGAGCCCAGACCUUGAGGGGACCACCUAGGGAUCUGAGGCAAAAUCAACACUUGGUCCUGCUACUGAAGGCAGGGGGCUGUAUUCAAUGACUUCAGGGUCCCUUCGAGUUCUAUGAGAUAGGUAUAUCUCCAAAUAUGUAUAUAAUGAUCUACACUAGAAAUGUAGACACAGCUUAUGCUGGCAAAAAAGUCCGUGUAGAAGCCUGUAUAACUUAAACCAGCUUGGUGAGCAAAAUAAACUAUAGCCACAAAAACACUCUUAUGCUGGUAUAACUGCAACUACAUGAGAGUUUUUGUUAGUAUAGAAAUGUUGUAAAAAAUCAACACCUUAACUGACAUUGCUAUAUUAGCAAAAGUUUCUAUUGUAGAUUUGGUCAUAGGUAGUGGAUGAAGAGAACUCAGGAGGGAAUACAGUUCAAAGGGAAUAAGGAAGAGAAUAGUAAAUAAACAAGCUGCUGUGUUGUACAGUUCACUAGGUUUAUUAUUUAGUAUUUGUAUUAAUGUAGCACCUGGCUUCCUGGCCCAUGACUCCUAUUGGGCUAGGCACUGCACAAACACAGAACAAAAUCCAUUUUACAAAUCACUUUGUCCUUUCUAUUAAUAGUUCUUCCUUCAGGAAGAAAUUAAUUCCUGGUGUAGAGGGCCAAUGCAAGGCCAAACGCUUUGACUGAAAACCUAAAGGUCUAUUAAAUAUUUUCUAGAAAUGCUUUAAAAGGCUAUUUUUUGAAUGUUUUAAAGGGAUGUCAGUGAUUUUUCAAGUUAUGAACUAUACAGUAAUUGAACCUGUGUAGUUUCCACAUCUGUAGUAAGUUAAUAAAAAUAGCAUAGCACUAUG